GCUAAAUGCGGAAGAGAUAAGUGCUGAAAGCAUCUAAGCACGAAACUUGCCCCGAGAUGAGUUCUCCCUGACCCUUUAAGGGUCCUGAAGGAACGUUGAAGACGACGACGUUGAUAGGCCGGGUGUGUAAGCGCAGCGAUGCGUUGAGCUAACCGGUACUAAUGAACCGUGAGGCUUAACCUUACAACGCCGAAGG
rnacentral:rRNA from 1 species